rnacentral:rRNA from 1 species
UACGUAGGGGGGCAAGCGUUGUCCGGAUUUAUUGGGCGUAAAGAGCGUGUAGGCGGCCUGAAAGGUCAGCUGUGAAAACUCGAGGCUCAACCUCGAGACGUCGGUUGAAACCAUCUGGCUAGAGUCCGGAAGAGGAGUGUGGAAUUCCCGGUGUAGCGGUGAAAUGCGCAGAUAUCGGGGAAGAACACCUGUGGCGAAAGCGGCUCACUGGACCUAACUGACGCUGAUGCACGAAAGCUGGGGGAGCAAACAGG